AGCCGUUCUAGCUCAGUUGGUAGAGCGCGUGGCUUUUAACCACGUGGUCGUGGGUUCGAGUCCCACGGAUG
rnacentral:tRNA from 1 species